UCAUUGUUAAUUUCUAUCUUGUCCUGAGUUCUAAAGGUUUCCUACGGCCUGGAUGUGCGUGAACUUUCAGAUUUCGCUCUCUGUGGAAACUCCUGGCCUUGUCACCACUGUGCCACUAGGCUCCCUCGUGAAGCAGGUCUAGCCUUGCAAGGAGAUAUUUUCAAAGUAACCAGAGUUUUCGGCCCCAGAGCAGAGAAUGAUCACCAUAACACAGGCAGCGUCCAUCCCUAGCCCCUGCUGACCAAAUGGCAUGCAGGAGAAAUGAGGUGGCUGGAAGAUGUCUCCGUGGAAUAGAGGUUCCUAGACUCAUGAACCUUAGGGAGGAAGAAACAAAUGGCUCUCUCCUUGGGGAACUUUCUCACUCUUCUCCGGCACCGCUCCUGCCUUUCCAGAGAAUGGGGUCUGCUUGUUUGCAAAUCCAGAGUACCAACUGGGUCAACCGAUGGAUCUUUGUGGAACUCCUCUGAUAAGCCUACAGUGGUUCAAGCACCGUACAGGCAGACUGAAGACAGAAAGAAGUGUGAGUCACAGAGUCUCUUCCAAAUUUCAGACCUGUGGCAGCUUCCCAGAGGCUGGAGUAGACCAGAAGAGAAUGACUAAGGCAUGAUGUUCUGGGAGUUACAGUCCUGGCACGUAAUUGUGAAUAUGGCACAAAAUGAGGCGGUGGGUGUCCAGACUGCACCUAACAAUGGGAGCCUGAGAGCAAAUGGCUGGAAGGUCAGGAAGGCAGGAGACUGUCAGUAGCAAGAGCAGGUGGGUGCACAUUAUGUAGCCUCGAGCACCAGGCUGGGAUGAGAGAUGGGACUCCACCCCCUGUGGAGGGGCAAAGUAGAAGCCAAGCCUGGACUCAAAUCACCAAGAUUGGGGCCCAGAAACAAAGGAAGAAAGCUGAAAGUCAGUACCCAAAACAUGGGUAAAGCAGGGACCCUGGGCUCAACCUAGCAGGCAGGAACUCAGAGGGGCUGACGUCCAGGGCAGACCAGCAGCAGACCAUGUUGGGUCAUGGCCUAGGGGUUAGAGUGGCUUAAUAUGUUUUGCUGAAAGGACAGAUGGAUUUCUGUGCCAGGUUUUAAAGAGGAAGCCAGGUGUGGAGUCUGGGAGCCACGCUGGAUCUGACACUCAGGCAGUUUGUCAUCUAAUUGGAAGAACCAAAGUAUGAAUACAUAACAAAUGAGUCACCUGAGCUGUUGUUAACUGAACAUGGGGCAAUAUUUCAAGAGUACCUGAAAGCCCUAUAUUAUGCAUUGUCUGGCUUGGGCCAAGGAGGGCAUGUGACUCUAGGAUACAAAAGAGUCCUCUGCGUUGGAGUGGUUUCUGAAGGUUUCAUGGAAGGGCAAAGGGUUAAGCUGACCCUUGAAGAGUGGAUGAAUGGAUAACUGAAUUAAUUCAGUCACUCAUUCACUCAAAAAAAUACUUAGAAAUCCCUGCAGUGAGAUAGGUGCCAAGAAUAAAGAGGUGAACAAUAGGGACACUGACGUUGGCUGCAUAGAAAUUGCAGGCUCAUGUAGGUUUGAGAGAAGCAAACAAGCAAGCAGGGAAGAUGCAAUUUCAGCCGGGACUGGAGGAAGUACAUAAGGCCGGUGAGGCACACCUAGAGCCAGCUUCUAAGGAAGUGUUCUUUCUGCUAACCUGGGCUGCUGCCAGGCCCAGCACUAAUUGUGCAUACUUUCUACCUGCUUUAAGGCUUGAUCCUAAAGAAAACUAAAAAUGUUAUUAAUAUAAACUCUUUGAGCUAGGGGGUGGCAAACACUUUCUGUAAAGGCCCGGAUAUUAAACAUUGUAGGCUUUGCAGGUGUGUCAUGAAAUACUAUUCUUGUUUUGAUUGUUUUCAAGCAUCUAAAAAUGUAAAACUCAUGUUUAGCUUACAGGCCAGAUUUGGCCUGCAGGCUGCAGU
rnacentral:lncRNA from 1 species